rnacentral:misc_RNA from 1 species
GAGAGAGAGAAGAAGUAAAUAUAGAAACUCAUUACAUCCAUAAUCUAUCUAAGGCUUUUAUACUUCGCAUUAGAGAAGAUUUCUAGCAGGUGUGUUGCUCAUAUCAUGUUAACAGUAGAGCUUCUAGAUUACUUUGCAAUAUCAUAUAUAAUAAAAAUAAGAGAAUAUACAAACUCAUUACAUCAAUAAGCUAUCUGUGGCUUUUACAAUUUGCAUUAGAGAAUAAUUCUAGCAGGUGUAUUACUCAUAUCAUGUCAAUGGCACUGUUUCCAAAUUACUUGCAAUGCAUCCAAAAUUACCAAAGAGUUCCUUGUAGAGUUGUAGAAAAGAAAAAAUAAAAAAAGAGGAAAUAUUCACCAAUACAAGAAAGUUUAAAGGUAGCUAUUAUGCAUAAAUAUGUUUAUACAAUCAAUGGUAAAACCAUAGUUAAAAUAAAUUGCAUCAUUUUGUUAACUGGAUCAUCAAAAUUCCCCAUGU